rnacentral:rRNA from 1 species
AUGUGGCGUUGCCCAUGCGGAACCCCAUUCGGCGUCUGGCUAACCCGGCAAGCCCUAUCAACAGCUCGAGGCCCGGAACCCUCACCUCCGCCUCCUCUCCCAGCGAUGGCUUCCGCCGCCAUGGUCGCCUCUUCCAGAGCCUUGUUCCGUCCGCAUCGCCUCCUCCUCCUCCCUGACCCUCGCCGCCGCCGCCACCUCUCCGCCAGUGCUGUGGCCUCAGCAAACGCUGCAGCCAGGACCGUACGGCGCGGAGUAGUCGACGUUCUCCGGGAGCGCGGGCUCGUGGAGGCUACCACCUCCGAGGCGCUCGGUUCGUCCUCGGCAGUUUCUGGGGAGCAGCAGCAGCUCAAGGUUUACUGCGGCUUCGACCCCACGGCCGAGAGCCUGCAUCUCGGCAACCUCCUCGGCCUUGUCGCGCUCUCCUGGUUCCGUCGUUGCGGCCACACAGCCGUCGCGCUCGUCGGCGGAGCGACCGGCCGCGUCGGAGAUCCCUCCGGAAAAAGCGCCGAGCGCCCUGAGCUAGACCUCGCCGCCGUGGUCGCCAACUCUGACGCAAUCAAGUCGCUCAUCGCUCAGAUCCUCAGCCGCGCUCCCGAACCAUCUCAUCACGGCCAAUCUGGUAAAAGCGCAAUUUUGGACAAACAUGAAGAUGCUCUGGCCAAUUCUGACCAGGAUUUAUCAGAGAAAUCGGGUAAUGCGGGGGAAAGUAUGGGUUCCUUUGUUAUCUUGGAUAACUAUGACUGGUGGAAGGACAUCACAUUGCUUGAUUUCCUCAAGGAGGUGGGCAAGUUCGCGCGUGUCGGGACGAUGAUUGCCAAGGAGAGUGUGAAGAAGCGGCUUAAUUCAGAGGAUGGCAUGAGCUACACUGAGUUCACCUAUCAGCUUCUCCAGGGCUAUGACUUCUUGUACGUGUUCAAGAACAUGGGUGUCAAUGUGCAGAUUGGGGGUAGUGAUCAGUGGGGAAACAUCACCGCGGGUACCGACUUGAUUCGGAAAAUUCUCCAGGUUGAGGGAGCGCACGGUCUGACAUUCCCACUCUUGCUGAAGAGCGAUGGAACCAAAUUUGGGAAGACGGAAGAUGGGGCGAUUUGGCUCUCAUCAAAGAUGCUCUCCCCUUACAAGUUCUACCAGUACUUUUUCUCAGUCCCGGAUGUUGAUGUUGUAAGGUUUAUGAAAAUCCUUACAUUUUUGAGCUUGGAUGAGAUUCAUGAGUUGGAAGAAUCGAUGAAGAAGCCCGGCUAUGUGCCAAACACGGUUCAAAGGAGGCUUGCAGAAGAGGUGACACGCUUCGUCCAUGGCCAGGAGGGACUGGAGGAGGCCUUGAAGGCAACUGAGGCCUUGCGGCCUGGGGCACAGACACAGUUGGACUCACAAACAAUUGAGGGAAUAGCAGAUGAUGUACCGUCGUGUUCUUUACGAUACGACCAAGUAUUGAAGUCUCCCCUGGUUGAUCUGGCUGCCUCUACAGGUUUGCUCGCAAGCAAAUCAGCGGCUAGGCGGCUUAUAAAGCAGGGUGGUCUAUACUUGAAUAACAUGAAGAUCGAUAGCGAGGAUAAGUUGGUCGAGGAAGGUGAUAUAGUUGACGGGAAGGUGCUGCUGCUAUCUGCCGGAAAGAAGAACAAGAUGGUUGUGCGGAUAUCUUAA